GACGAACGCUGGCGGCGUGCUUAACACAUGCAAGUCGAACGGAGUGGCGAACGGGUGAGUAACACGUGGGUGAUCUGCCUUGCACUUCGGGAUAAGCUUGGGAAACUGGGUCUUAUACCGGAUAGUGCAAGAUGAGCUCGCGGCCUAUCAGCUUGUUGGUGGGGUAAUGGCAUACCAAGGCGUCGACGGGUAGCCGGCCUGGGAGGGUGUAAGGCCACAUGUGGACUAAGGUACGGCGCAGACUCCUACUGGGGGCAGCGGUGGGGAAUAUUGCACAGUGGUCGGAAGCCUGAUGCAGCGACGCCGCGGUGGGGAUGAAGGCCUUCGGGUUGUAAACUCCUUUCGACAGGGACGCGGUACCUGUAUAAGAAGCACCGGCUAACUACGUGCCAGCAGCCGCGGUAAUAC
rnacentral:rRNA from 1 species